AGAGCAGGCACAGCCUGUCAAUCGUCUGACAUUGUCUGGGGGCACUCAGCAUCAUGGCCACUUUCACACCUUUGGUGGUAGAUCAGAGGUUUUCAGCAUGCCUCUGCCACUUGGAAAUAGCAAGAUGGUACAUAAAGAUCAACUCUGUGAGCUUUAAUCCAAGAAGGAAAUCAGGAGUCCACCAGAAUCGCAAAGGACAACCCAGAUCCCCAGGAGGAGAACCCGGCAAACAGUCCCUGUGAUGGCAUCUGCCAGAUGAAAGUGAGCGAAGCCUCAGUACGAGAGAAAUGCCGGGAGCCUCCCUCUGUGACUCACCUUUCCACUGGGCAUUGGAGCAACACAGGCCAAGGGAGAGCAUUUUGUUUCUACCAAGCUCUGGAGGUAACCUGGGGAGAGGCUUGGAGCGCUGUGAGGGACAGACACUGGGAAAAGCUGCAAACCUUUUCCCAGACCCGGAAACCAAGUGCAGGAUACCAUUUUGAAUCCAGGUACGCACAAAGUUAGUUGUUCCUUGGCGGCUCGCAUUUUAGUCUUCAGUCAAGGUUUGCAGUGUCUGCUCUGGGAUGGGGUAGGGACCUCCACAGUCAGAAUUGUGGAACACACCUCAGCAGUAGGCGCUGGAACUUUGCUCUCCUCUGUUGCAAGCCUGAGGCAGCAGGAGAGCAGCUACAUCUGUAGCUUCUCCUGGGUGGUAAGACUUGCAGCCAGGUCCAGCUUGGUGACCUGGAACUGCUCUGCGUGUGCCCCAGCCUGCUGUCCUGAUAUUAUGGUGCAGUGGGACCCUCUCUGCUCCACCCCCAGGCAGAAAUCCAGGCAUGUGUAGGACCCUGGACCAGCAGCCUGAGCCACCCACCACUCCUGGACAGAGUGUGGGGUCCAGCCUGAGCCACCCUAUCAUUCCUGGACACAGAGUGUGGGGUCCAGCCUGAGCCACCCCAUCAUUCCUGGACACAGAGUGUGGGGUCCAGCCUGAGCCACCCCACCAUUCCUGGACACAGAGUGUGGGGUCCAGCCUGAGCUACCCCACCAUUCCUGGACACAGAGUGUGGGGUCCGGCCUGAGCCACCCCACCAUUCCUGGACACAGAGUGUGGGGUCCAGCCUGAACCACCCCACCAUUCCUGGACACAGAGUGUGGUGCAGCAGGACUCUUUCCACUUCACACCUAAGCAGAUCUCCAGAUGUUCAGAGCCACCCCUCAUCUGGAUCAGCAGCCUGACACCCCAUUUAUCCUGCACAGAGGCCCUGGUACAGGGAGGCCCUCUCACUCCAUGCCCAGGCAGCUCUCCAGGCAUUUAGAAUACCUCCUCACCUGGAUCAGCAGACUGAUCCACUGCACCUGUCCUGUGCAGAGAUCCUGGUGCAGGGAAACCCUCUCCACUCCAUGCCCAGGCAGAUCUCCAGGCAUCUAGUGGGCCCAUUCUCCUGGAUUAGAAGCUUAGGCUGUCCCCCAGCCCUAUGCUGAGGACUUGGAGGCAAGGUGGUUUCCCAGCUCCAUACCUAGGCAUGCCUCUAGGCACUUGGUAGCCACCUACUGGAUUCUCUCUCAGCACUCGUGCUUGUGCUUGCUAAGUGGACCUGGCUGGUCUGGCCUUGCCCAUCAUGGCCCCUACUCCAGGUGCAGAGCAAAGAGCUCAGGCCACUGCCCAUUCCGUGGAUCUGCCUUUUGGCUGUGGAAACAGAGAGCUUCUGCCUCUGUAAACAAGCAUCCUGUAAACAAGAAUCAAAUAUAUACCCAGCCACGUGGGCUGCAGCAGGCUCUUACCUGCAAGUACCACCUACGGGCUUACAGGUUGAACUGCACAGCCCCAUAUAAAACCUGCCAAAAGAAGUGCACAGGGCUAUAGAAGCAAAGCCAAGACCCCAUCUAGCAUUAUCUAUGUCACACCCCUUAGGGAGGGGGAAAAAGAGAAAGAAAAAAAAAAGCAAUACUAUUACAAGGAAAGAAAGAAAAAGGGAAACUUCUACCUGCAUGAAAAUAAUUACAAAAUCGAGAAGUGCCAGUGUUUCCAGAUGAGAAGGAGCCAGCACAAGAAUUCUGGCACCAGAAUUAUUGGUGGAUAGGGGCCACGAUGGGCGGGGCCAGACCAGCCAGGUCCAUCUGGCAAAAUCUUCAAGUAAUGAUACCACCAAAAGAUUGCACUAGCUCUGCAGCAAUACACCCCAACCAAAAUGGAAACUCAGAAACGACAGAUAAAGAAUCAAGGCAUAGAUUGCAAGGAAGCUCAAUGAGAUCCAAGACGAAGUUGAAAACCAACACAAACUUCUAAAGCAAUCCAGGAAAUGAAGGAAGAGAUAAACAUCUUAAAAAGAGAUCAGUCAGAGCUUCCGGAAUUGAAAAACUCACUUAAGGAAUUUCAAAAUACAAUUAAAAAUUUCAUUAAUAGUACCAAGCAGAAAAAAGAAUUUCAGAGCUUGAAGACUAGUCCUUUGAACUAACCCAAUCAGACCAGAAUAAAGAAAAAAGAGUUUUUUUAAAAAACAGCCUUUGAGAAAUAUGGAAUUAUGUAAAGUGACCAAAUCCAUGAAUUGUUGGCAUUCCUGAAAGAGAAGGAGAUAAAGUAAACAACCUGAAAAAAGUAGUUGAGGCAAUAAUUCAAGAAAAUUUUCCUAAUCUUGCUAGACAGGUAAACAUCCAGAUAUAAGAAGUUCAGAGAACAUCUCUGAGAUACUUAUACAAAAUUAAUAUCUCCAAGGCAUAUAGUCACCAGACUGUCCAAGGUCAAUGGUAAAGAAAAAAUUUCAAAGGUAGCUAGAGAAAAAGGUCAGAUUACAUACAAAUGGAGCUCCAUCAGACUAACAGUGGAGUUCUCAGCAGAGACUGAGACUACUAGGGCUUGUAUGCUGCCUUCUCCAGGCUGUAGAGUUAGUGGGAGGGGACAGAGAAGGGCAAGGAUUUUAAAACUAACUAUUGGGUACUAUGCUCAGUACCUGGUGAUGGGAUCACUGAUACCCCAAACCUCAGCAUCAUGCCAUAUACCUAGGUAACAAACCUGUAUAUGUACCCUCUGAAUCUAAAAGUUAAAAAGCGAACAAACAAACAAAAUAUAACCUGAUAAAUGGUUUUCUAAAGUUUCCUCCAGAGAGGAAACUUGCACCAGAGCUCUGUUAUCUAUUCUGUUAUUCAUUAUUUUAAAAUAAAAGCCACUUUCUUUUAGUAUCAAUGCUGCUUCUGUGCAUUAUUUACUAUUAUUUUAAUUAAUCCAAUUUGACCUACUGGAACUUCCAGUGAGUACACUGUGGGCAC
rnacentral:lncRNA from 1 species